UACGUAGGGUGCAAGCGUUAAUCGGAAUUACUGGGCGUAAAGCGUGCGCAGGCGGCUUUGCAAGACAGAUGUGAAAUCCCCGGGCUCAACCUGGGAACUGCAUUUGUGACUGCAUCGCUGGAGUACGGCAGAGGGGGAUGGAAUUCCGCGUGUAGCAGUGAAAUGCGUAGAUAUGCGGAGGAACACCGAUGGCGAAGGCAAUCCCCUGGGCCUGCACUGACGCUCAUGCACGAAAGCGUGGGGAGCAAACAGG
rnacentral:rRNA from 1 species